rnacentral:RNase_P_RNA from 1 species
GGCUAGGUAAACCCCACUCGGAGCAAGACCAAAUAGGGUUCCAUCGGCGUGGCCCGCGCUGGAACCGGGUAGGUUGCUAAAGGCGUGCAGUGAUGUACGUCGUAGAGGAAUGACUGUCCUCGACAGAACCCGGCUUACAGAUCGACUCUCCUC